UCUGUAACACUUAUUAACUUUCGUUGUUGUUAUUUCCCUUUUUUUUUUUAUAUAUUACAAGAUUAUAAUACAUCACACACACACACACACACACACACACACACACACACACACACACACACAUACACACACACACAAAUAACAACAAAAACAGCAAGUUCUCUACACUAACCAGAGUAAUUUAUAAAUACAAGUUGAUGGAAACAAAAAAAUCCUUAGGCAUAUUAUUGUAAACCACGAGAGAGAGAGAGAGAGAGAGAGAGAGAGAGAGAGAGAGAGAGAGAGAGAGAGAGAGAGAGAGAGAGAGAGAGAGAGAGAGAGAGAGAGAGAGAGAGAGAGAGAGAGAGAGAGAGAGAGA